AUUGAACGCUGGCGGCGUGCCUAAUACAUGCAAGUCGAACGCAGUGGGGACGGGUGAGUAACACGUGGGUAACCUACCAUCAGAGGGGAUAACACUUGGAAACAGGUGCUAAACCGAUACUGAUGGAUGGCCCCGCGGUGAAUUAGCUAGUUGGUGAGGUAACGGCUCACCAAGGCCACGAUGCAUAGCCGACCUGAUAGGGUGAUCGGCCACACUGGGACUGAGCAACGGCCCAGACUCCUACGGGAGGCAGCAGUAGGGAAUCUUCGGCAAUGGACGAAAGUCUGACCGAGCAACGCCGCGUGUGUGAAGAAGGUUUUCGGAUCGUAAAACUCUGUUGUUAGAGAAGCGUUAUCUAACCAGAAAGCCACGGCUAACUACGUGCCAGCAGCCGCGGUAAUAC
rnacentral:rRNA from 1 species